ACCUACGGGGGGCAGCAGUAGGGAAUUUUCGUCAAUGGGCGCAAGCCUGAACGAGCAAUGCCGCGUGAACGAGGAAGGUCUUCGGAUCGUAAAGUUCUGUUGAAGGGGAAAAAGAGCGGAGAGAGGAAAUGGUCUCCGAUUGAUAUUACCCUUCGAGGAAGUCACGGCUAACUACGUGCCAGCAGCCGCGGUAAUACGUAGGUGGCGAGCGUUAUCCGGAAUGAUUGGGCGUAAAGGGCGCGUAGGCGGCCUGCUAAGUCUGGAGUGAAAGGUACCGGCUCAACCGGUACAGGCUCUGGAAACUG
rnacentral:rRNA from 1 species